rnacentral:rRNA from 1 species
UACGGAGGGGACUAGCGUUGUUCGGAAUUACUGGGCGUAAAGCGCACGUAGGCGGAUUUGAAGUCAGGGGUGAAAUCCCGGGGCUCAACCUCGGAACUGCCUUUGAUACUGCAAAUCUCGAGUCCGGAAGAGGUGAGUGGAAUUCCUAGUGUAGAGGUGAAAUUCGUAGAUAUUAGGAAGAACACCAGUGGCGAAGGCGGCUCACUGGUCCGGUACUGACGCUGAGGUGCGAAAGCGUGGGGAGCAAACAGG